rnacentral:lncRNA from 1 species
CGAGUAGCUGGGACUACAGGUGCCCACCACCACGCCCAGCAAACACAGUAAAGGAGCUGUUUUAUAUCUGGUAGCACCUCAUGUUGACCCCAAUAUAAACGAGAAACAAGAGCCCAAGAAGCAGAGGAAGUUAGGAGAUAGUAAGCUGUCCAGAAAUUAGCCAACGACUGUGGAAUGGCUCUAGACUUCUGUAGCAAAUGGAAAUAUGAGUCUUGGCAGCUCUUUGGGGGAUGGAAGAAGACCAUGAAGCUCUAAGUGCUUCAGAGGAAUGGGGUUGCCAAAACAGAUGUGAGAGGCCCAGAGAGGAGGCUGGGCCAAUGCUGAAGGGUAUUAUUUUGGGGCUGAGUGCAGAAAUAAGAGAUGCGUGCUAAAAGGUCAUCGGUUUAGAACCAGCCCUAGAUCUCCUGGGAUCCUGCCCAGCUGAAUCUUCCUCCUUGUAACAUGGGCUUUGGGAAUUUGUGAGAGAUUUAAAUAAAGAUUUACUAAAGCAAUGUCUUCAAAGAGGUGUUUAAGAAGGAGAGGUUGGUCGGAACCAGAAAAUGCAUUCCUGGGAUGAUCUUUGGGAUACACCCAACUGACCCUCUGAAAAGGCACAACAUUUGUCAACUCAACACUCUUCAGACUUUAUCAAUAACAAAAAGUUGCUAAUGCUUGAUGAGAUGAUGAGUGAGAAGGUGGGAGGCAGAAGCAGCCAACAGAGAAGACAAAGGAUCUAAGAAAAUGAGAGAGAAAGAAAGGAGAAAAAUAUGUAGAAAUUUCAAGUUGAUGAUAACAUUCUAAGACCAGAUGAACACUUACUUUAUUUUCUGGAAAAGAAUCAUUGACCUCAUGAAACACAUUGUGAAUGUGUUUUUUUCUUCCUGACUCAACCUAUGAACAGGACAUUGAAUUCAAGAUUGACUACAAAGUUAAUAAUUACAUAAAAUUAUAUAAAAUAAAAGUACGAAGGCAAUAAUAAU